UACAGAGGUCUCGAGCGUUGUUCGGAUUCAUUGGGCGUAAAGGGUGCGUAGGUGGCGCUGUAAGUCGGGUGUGAAAUCCUGAGGCUUAACCUCGGAACUGCAUUCGAUACUGCGGCGCUUGAGGACUGGAGAGGAGACUGGAAUUCAUGGUGUAGCAGUAAAAUGCGUAGAGAUCAUGAGGAAGACCAGUGGCGAAGGCGGGUCUCUGGACAGUUCCUGACACUGAGGCACGAAGGCCAGGGGAGCAAACGGG
rnacentral:rRNA from 1 species